rnacentral:rRNA from 1 species
GCAUAUCAAUAAGCGGAGGAAAAGAAACUAACAAGGAUUCCCCUAGUAACGGCGAGUGAACCGGGAAAAGCUCAAAUUUAAAAUCUGGCUGUCUUCGAUAGUCCGAGUUGUAAUCUAUAGAAGUGUUUUCCGUGCUGAACUGUGUCUAAGUCCCUUGGAGCAGGGUAUCAAAGAGGGUGACAAUCCCGUACUUGACGCAAUCAUCAGUGCUCUGUGAUACAUUCUCUACGAGUCGAGUUGUUUGGGAAU